rnacentral:rRNA from 1 species
CCGGAGGAAGAAACAACAGGGAUUGCCCUAGUAACGGCGAGUGAAGCGGCAACAGCUCAAAUUUGAAAUCUGGCUCUUUUAGAGUCCGAGUUGUAAUUUGCAGAGGGCGCUUUGGCUUUGGCAGCGGUCCAAGUUCCUUGGAACAGGACGUCACAGAGGGUGAGAAUCCCGUACGUGGUCGCUGGCUAUUGCCGUGUAAAGCCCCUUCGACGAGUCGAGUUGUUUGGGAAUGCAGCUCUAAAUGGGAGGUACAUUUCUUCUAAAGCUAAAUAUUGGCCAGAGACCGAUAGCGCACAAGUAGAGUGAUCGAAAGAUGAAAAGCACUUUGGAAAGAGAGUCAAACAGCACGUGAAAUUGUUGAAAGGGAAGCGCUUGCAGCCAGACUUGCUUACAGUUGCUCAUCCGGGUUUUUACCCGGUGCACUCUUCUGUAGGCAGGCCAGCAUCAGUUUGGGCGGUAGGAUAAAGGUCUCUGUCACGUACCUCCUUUCGGGGAGGCCUUAUAGGGGAGACGACAUACUACCAGCCUGGACUGAGGUCCGCGCAUCUGCUAGGAUGCUGGCGUAAUGGCUGUAAGCGGCCCGUCUUGAAACACGGACCAAGGAGUCUAACAUCUAUGCGAGUGUUUGGGUGUCAAGCCCGAGCGCGUAAUGAAAGUGAACGGAGGUGGGAACCCGCAAGGGUGCACCAUCGACCGAUCCUGAUGUCUUCGGAAGGAUUUGAGUAAGAGCAUGGCUGUUGGGACCCGAAAGAUGGUGAACUAUGCUCGAAUAGGGUGAAGCCAGAGGAAACUCUGGUGGAGGCUCGCAGCGGUCUGACGUGCAAAUCGAUCGUCAAAUUUGGGCAUAGGGGCGAAAGACUAAUCGAACUAUCUAGUAACUGGUUCCUGCCGAAGUUUCCCCUCAGGGAA